UACAGAGGGUGCAAGCGUUAAUCGGAAUUACUGGGCGUAAAGCGUGCGUAGACGGUUAUUUAAGUCAGGUGUGAAAGCCCCGGGCUCAACCUGGGAAUUGCAUUUGAGACUGAAUAGCUAGGGUGCGGAAGAGGGAAGCGGAAUUUCCGGUGUAGCGGUGAAAUGCGUAGAUAUCGGAAGGAACACCAGUGGCGAAGGCGGCUCACUGGACCGGUUCUGACGCUGAGGCGCGAAAGCGUGGGGAGCAAACGGG
rnacentral:rRNA from 1 species